rnacentral:rRNA from 1 species
GGGGAAUUUUCCGCAAUGGGCGAAAGCCUGACGGAGCAAUACCGCGUGAGGGAGGAAGGCUUUUGGGUUGUAAACCUCUUUUAUCAAGGAAGAAGAAAGUGACGGUACUUGAAGAAUAAGCAUCGGCUAACUCCGUGCCAGCAGCCGCGGUAAUACGGAGGAUGCAAGCGUUAUCCGGAAUCAUUGGGCGUAAAGCGUCCGCAGGUGGCUCGUCAAGUCUGCUGUUAAAGACAGAAGCUUAACUUCUGAGAAGCGGUGGAAACUGGGGAGCUAGAGUACGGUAGGGGUUGAGGGAAUUCCCAGUGUAGCGGUGAAAUGCGUAGAGAUUGGGAAGAACACCAGUGGCGAAGGCGCUCUGCUGGGCCAUCACUGACGCUCAUGGACGAAAGCCAGGGGAGCGAAAGGGAUUAGAUACCCCUGUAGUCA